AUAUAUAUAUAUGAAGGUGGUCUGUUCCUGACCACCGUCAGUUGGUUCCACGGAGGAAGUGGUUGGUUCUUUAUUCUAUGUGCACGUCGCUCCACGACGAGGUAGGAUGUGUGUCGAGUGAGCAUUGAGUCACCCUAAUUGAGUGAGCUCCGGAUGGCUCCCACGGCUCCGGAACAACAUUUUGCUGUGUGCUGAACUCGGUUUAAACAAUAAAUCCGGGACCUUAAAGAGGUGCGACGAAAUUCUAACGCAUUUUUCUUGCAUUUAUCGCUGAAUAACCACUUUAUUAUUUUUUUUUUUGAGUGAGUAGAUAUCGCAAGAAGAUGUCAGGAGAAAGAGCAGGGGACGCUGGCCUGAUCUUAACAGAACAGACCGGAAGGGCAAUGUCUGAAUGACUUGAUCGUUUUCACAGAGAGCUGGACACCCGCUCCAAGGCUAUGGAGAAGUCGAAGAAAUCGUCCCAAAGAUCCUCCGGCUACGAAGGCACCUCAAGGCCGCUGGAAAUCACCUUGAUGUCACGGGGACAUGGACCGCACAACAGUUCCUGGAAUUUAUCGCCAAAUUGAACUUCUUUUGAGUCCCUCCCUAAUCUUACCGUUAUCUUUCGCUUGUUCCUCACGAGCUGCGUGUCAGUUGCAUCAUGCGAAAGAAACUUUUCCAAGUUAAAGCUGAUCAAAACGUGUCUGCGCUCUACCAUGAGUGAUGAAAGGCUGUCAAAUUUGGCGAUACUGACCAUAGAAAAAGAACACGUAAAAAAUAUAAACUUUACUACUGUAAUUAAUGAGUUUGCAGAAGCGAUCGAAGUGUCGAAAAAAGAACUUUAGAAGGAAAUGUGUCCUAUACUGGUCAUUAGUGCAGAAGGCUCGAUGUCCCACCAUGGUUUGUGCAUCGGCAAUAUGUAUACAAUGUUCGAUUUAUCAAUUUUGAAUCGUUGUAAUUGUUUUUUAUCAGUUUCGCGGUGUUGAAUAAAAGAUAUUCCUCCUAGUCCUA